rnacentral:rRNA from 1 species
GACGAACGCUGGCGGCGUGCUUAACACAUGCAAGUCGAAUGGAAAGGCCUGCUUUCCCUUGUGGAUUGCGGGUACUCGAGUGGCGAACGGGUGAGUAACACGUGAGUGAUCUGCCCCCAACUUGGGUAUAAGCCUGGGAAACUGGGUCUAAUUCCCGAUAGGACUGCAGGGUGGUGCCUGUGGUGGAAAACGAUUUUCUAGUGGUUGGGGAUGAGCUCGCGGCCUAUCAGCUUGUUGGUGGGGUAAUGGCCUACCAAGGCGGCGACGGGUAGCCGGCCUGGGAGGGUGGACGGCCACAUUGGGGCUGAGAUACGGCCCAGACUCCGACGGGAGGCAGCAGUGGGGAAUAUUGCACAAUGGGCGGAAGCCUGAUGCAGCGACGCCGCGUGGGGGAUGACGGCCUUCGGGUUGUAAACUCCUUUCGACCGCGAGGAAGCCACCUGGUUGGAAGGGUGGUGACGGUAGUGGUAGAAGAAGCACCGGCUAACUACGUG